rnacentral:rRNA from 1 species
UACGUAGGUGACAAGCGUUGUCCGGGUUUACUGGGCGUAAAGAGCGCGCAGGCGGUCGAUCAAGUCGAGUGUGAAAGCCCCCGGCUCAACUGGGGAGGGUCAUUCGAUACUGAUCGACUCGAAGGCAGGAGAGGGUAGUGGAAUUCCCGGUGUAGUGGUGAAAUGCGUAGAUAUCGGGAGGAACACCAGUGGCGAAGGCGACUACCUGGCCUGUUCUUGACGCUGAGGCGCGAAAGCUAGGGGAGCAAACGGG